GUAGGUGGCAAGCGCUGUCCGGGAUUAUUGGGCGUAAAGCGCGCGCAGGCGGUUCUUUAAGUCUGAUGUGAAAGCCCACGGCUCAACCGUGGAGGGUCAUUGGAAACUGGAGAACUUGAGUACAGAAGAGGAAAGCGGAAUUCCACGUGUAGCGGUGAAAUGCGUAGAGAUGUGGAGGAACACCAGUGGCGAAGGCGGCUUUCUGGUCUGUAACUGACGCUGAGGCGCGAAAGCGUGGGGGGAGCAAACAGGAUUAGAUACCCUGGUAGUCCACGCCGUAAACGAUGAGUGCUAAGUGUUAGGGGGUUUCCGCCCCCCCCUUAGUGCUGCAGCUAACGCAUUAAGCACUCCGCCUGGGGAGUACGGCCGCAAGGCUG
rnacentral:rRNA from 1 species